GACGAACGCUGGCGGCGUGCCUAAUACAUGCAAGUCGAACGCAGUGGGGACGGGUGAGUAACACGUGGGUAACGUUCCAUAAGAGGGGAUAACACUUGGAAAAAGGUGCUAAACUGCAACUGGUGGAUGGACUCGCGUUGCUUUAGCUUGAGGGUGAGGUAACGGCUCACCAAGGCCACGAUGCAUAGCCGGCCUGAGAGGGUGACCGGCCACACUGGAACUGAGACACGGCCCAGACUCCUACGGGAGGCAGCAGUAGGGAAUCUUCGGCAAUGGACGAAAGUCUGACCGAGCAACGCCGCGUGAGUGAAGAAGGUUUUCGGAUCGUAAAACUCUGUUAUGAGGGAAGCGGUAUCUAACCAGAAAGCCACGGCUAACUACGUGCCAGCAGCCGCGGUAAUUC
rnacentral:rRNA from 1 species